CCGCGGUAUACUGACCGUGCAAAGGUAGCAUAAUCAUUAGUUUUUUAAUUGAAAACUUGUAUGAAUGGUUCGACAAAGGAAAGACUGUCUCUAUAUUAAAUAUUGAAUUUAACUUUUAAGUGAAAAGGCUUAAAUAAUUUAGGGGGACGACAAGACCCUAUAAAGCUUUAUACGUUGUUUACAUAAAAUUGAAUCAAAGAGUCAAAAAUUGUUUGUAAAUAUCUUAUUUUGUUGGGGCGACAAAGGUAAAAUUUGAAAUAACUAUUAUUAAUUUGAUUCAAUGAUAAUUGAAGUAAAAUUAAAAGAUCCUUAUUAAAGAUUUAAAAAUAAGUUACUUUAGGGAUAACAGCGUAAUUUCUUUUGAGAGUCCAUAUCGAAAAAGAAGANUGCGACCUCGAUGUUGAAUUAAGAUUUCUUUAUUGUGC
rnacentral:rRNA from 1 species